rnacentral:rRNA from 1 species
UACGUAGGGUGCGAGCGUUAAUCGGAAUUACUGGGCGUAAAGCGUGCGCAGGCGGUUCGUUGUGUCGGCGGUGAAAGCCCCGGGCUUAACCUGGGAAUGGCCGUUGAAACUGGCGAACUGGAGUGUGGCAGAGGGGGGUGGAAUUCCGCGUGUAGCAGUGAAAUGCGUAGAUAUCGGAAGGAACGCCGGUGGCGAAAGCGAUCCGCUGGACCUCUUCUGACGCUGAGGCGCGAAAGCCAGGGGAGCAAACGGG